rnacentral:lncRNA from 1 species
UCACCCUAGAAAAAUUCUAGGAAAUCAGACUGUAUUAAGCCAAUACACUAAUUCAUACAGCAGCCAAAUCAAGAGAAAAGAGUUCCAUAGCCACAUUCAAGAGUCCAUUAAAGCUCCACUGAAAAACAAGCUACUGCUGAUUUCAAGGGGGGAUUACAGAGCAAAAGGAGGAGUGUUUUGAAUCCUGAUGUAACAAAGAGGUACAAAGAUUGAGAGGUCAAUGAAUAAGGACCGUGAGUCAGUGAGUUUCCAGAAUCAGCUUGUCCUUGCAGACAUUUUUUUUUUUCAAUCUCAUUGAAAGAACUGGCACAUGAGGAUCUUCUGAUCUGCACCAUGGCAAUCAGAUCAGUUACAUAGGGUUGCAGGUGGUAAGAAGAAUGCAGGAGGAUCUGGCUUGGGUUCCAUCUGGCAAGGAAGGAAGAUACUUUAGCAGAAGAACCAGAUGCUACUUUGGAGCUUUGUGGCCUAGCACAGAUUUUUCAUUUUGA